rnacentral:rRNA from 1 species
GACGAACGCUGGCGGCGUGCCUAACACAUGCAAGUCGAACGGGGUUAAUGUGGAAGUUCCUUCGGGGACGGAAGCAUUAACUUAGUGGCGAACGGGUGAGUAACGCGUGAGAAACCUGCCUCUCAGUGGGGGACAACAGUUGGAAACGACUGCUAAUACCGCAUAAUGUAUCCGGAGGGCAUCCUCUGGAUACCAAAGCUUUAUGUGCUGAGAGAUGGUCUCGCGUCUGAUUAGCUAGAUGGCGGGGUAACGGCCCACCAUGGCGACGAUCAGUAGCCGGUCUGAGAGGAUGAACGGCCACAUUGGGACUGAGAUACGGCCCAGACUCCUACGGGAGGCAGCAGUGGGGAAUAUUGGGCAAUGGGGGAAACCCUGACCCAGCAACGCCGCGUGAAGGAGAAGGCUUUCGGGUUGUAAACUUCUUUUACCAGGGACGAAGGACGUGACGGUACCUGAGGAGGAAGCUCGGCUAACUACGUG